GACGAACGCUGGCGGCGUGCUUAACACAUGCAAGUCGAACGGAAAGGCCCUGCUUUUGUGGGGUGCUCGAGUGGCGAACGGGGGAGUAACACGUGAGUAACCUGCCCUUGACUUUGGGAUAACUUCAGGGAACUGGGGCUAAUACCGGAUAGGAGCUCCUGCUGCAUGGGGGGGGUUGGAGAGUUUCGGCGGUUGGGGAUGGACUCGCGGCUUAUCAGCUUGUUGGUGGGGUAGUGGCGUACCAAGGCUUUGACGGGUAGCCGGCCUGAGAGGGUGACCGGCCACAUUGGGACUGAGAUACGGCCCAGACGCCUACGGGAGGCAGCGGUGGGGAAUAUUGCACAAUGGGCGGAAGCCUGAUGCAGCAACGCCGCGUGCGGGAUGACGGCCUUCGGGUUGUAAACCGCUUUCGCAUGUGACGAAGCGUGAGUGACGGUAAUGGGUAAAGAAGCACCGGCUAACUACGUG
rnacentral:rRNA from 1 species